AAAUGUCUCUCCCCGAACGGCCCGAAAAUGGUACACGCUUUCUGUCUGUCCUUUUUCUUCUUCCGUAUCUCUCUUUCUCAUUCCCAACAGUCUCUCUCCUCUCUCAACUCUUGAAAAUCUCCAGAGCUGUGAUUAAACUCAGGUGCAAAACCCAUCUCAUUCAGAGCUGCGAUUCAACUCGUCUUCAAAACCCAUCUGUCAUUCGGAGCUGCGAUUCAAGGAUUCAAAACUCUUUCGCUCUUUGGCUCAUCGCUUUUAGAAUCGGAGCUGCGAUUCAAUUCUUGAAAACUCAAGUCAGUGCUCUCUUUCUCUCUCAUCCAUCUCGUCUCUGUGUUGGGUAAAGAAACCGACUCAGAGUAACAAGGCACACUGCAAUUACUUCAAGUUUACAGAUGUUGAUGAUGAGGACGUUACCUCCACAAUCCGUUCCAAUACCGGACCUCGUAAAGCUAUAACAACAGAAGAAUUAUACGAGCUAAGGGCAAUACUUUCUGAGAUGGAAAAUGAAAUUCAUGACCAUGGUAAAAGGCAUCAAAAGAUGGAGAAGAAAUGGAAGGUGAUGAUUUAUGUCAUUGUUUUUUAUAUGAUUUUGUAUUUGAUAAUGUAAAGUACUGACUUUGUUAGUUUUGGGGUAAUCUAUGUUGUAAUGAAUUGAAUGUGAGUAUAUUUUUGUAAUCUAUGUUGAUGAUGUAAAUUACUUUCUAUGUUGUAAUGAAUUGAAUGUGGAUAUAUUUUUGUAGAUGGAAAACAAUAUGUCGUUGAUGUUAUUUCA